AACCAUGACACAAAUCCUACCUUCACCACUCCUCAUCAGUCAUUAUGAAAGAAAACCAUAAGACACAAAUCCUACCUUCACCACAAGUCAUGCCGAUCUCCUCUGGUUAUUCCAAUCACAGAUCUCCUCUGGUUAUGCCGAUCUUGAAAAACGCAGGGAUUUGCAGUUUGAAUUCGAUUUUACGGUUUUUUAAGAUGCACCUUGCCAGAUCUAGGGUUACGAAUUCUUUUUUUCACCUCCUUUCUCUUUGCCUCAUACCAUCACAGGCGUGAAGGUGGUUGUUGCUACUGUUUCUGGCAAUUUGGUAGGGUCGGUUUUCCUCUUCUCUUUACUAACUUGCACAGGGCUUCUCAUUUUUGUUUCCAUCAAUUCAUCUAUCUCUAAUCGAAAACCCUAACAUCAUCCCUUCUAUCAAAUCACCGAUUGGUUCCAGAAAAAAAAACGCUUCAAUACAACACAGGUGAAAUACUUAAAAGGAACCAGAAAACCCCACCAGAUGUUAUUCCGGUCAGCGUAGAGUUAAGGUGGCUGAGAACAGUUUAUACAAUUAAUAUUGUGUGUGGGAACAGAUUUGUUCAGCUUAUAGCUUUAGUUGGAUUAGUUUUUUGGGUUUGUUUUAAAUGCCGGAAAUUUCAGAACCCUUAAGAAGAAGAAGCGCAACCUCUUCUACCAUCGGUCCAACUCGGUGAGAUUUCGGAGGAGGUCUUGAAGGCUUAUGACGGCAACUAUUCUCAAAAGCCUUCUCUUAUGGCCAUCGUAGGCCAGAUCUACGAUGUCUCACAACGCUGGUUGAUUUCUUUAAGAUGAUACGGUUGUCAUUGGUAUAUCUGGAAUGUUUUUGCUCAGAUAAAAAAUAUCGGUUGUGAAUUGGAUUGAAGGGCGUGGAAAGUCAGUUGUUUGUGAAUAAGUUAUUACUAAGGUGGUGGCGAGGAAGGUGCUAAAAACUACAGUGCCCACGCUUGUUAGCGAAAACCGUGCUCUUGAACAGACAACCACAGCCUAGCCACGGUAAAGGAGUCACCAACCACUACGAGAUGUAUGGUCAGAACCUUGUUGAUGCUUCUCGCUUUUGUUCAUUUGGUCGCAAGUUUGUACAGCAUACAUCAUGUUUAAUGGAUCAGCUUGCCAAUCUAUAUCAAGAUUCCUCCAUGUUAACCUUCGAAGGUCAGAAGAUUCAAGGAUCUCAAUACAUUGUUUGUAAGGUUGCUUCUCUCCUGAAGGGUUUAUUUGUUCAAAGUUUUCGCUUUCUGGUAAAGUUUUUACAUUGUCCAGUUACAUGGAGACCAAUGAAGGGUUUAUUUUGAUUUUACUAAAGUUGCAGAUGUGUUGGAUCCAAUUAUUGCUCUGGUGUUCUCAUGGCAAAAGAUGGAAUUGAAUUGUGGCCUACUUUACUUGAUGAAGUUCAAGCACGAUUUGACACUGAUGUUGGCCAGUUAUGGUUCCCGUUUUACUUGGUUCUUCGGCCAGGUUGUUAUGAAGAUACCAAUGGUUGUAGUGGCAGUACAAGAUUUCAUACGAGUGUGACACUAGCCUCCGGAACCUGAUUUCACUGACCUUCCACUCUUUCCCCAAACAAGGUUGGAGCAUGUAUGAAAUCAAUUUACGCUUAUUGUAACCUAGGGUUAGUUGGGACACCCGGUUCAAAGCGCGGGCCUCCCCACUAGUUAUACCUAAUUUACAAUACAAAAAUAUUCAUAAUUGUAUUUAGGUUUCUUUUGAAAUUUAAUAAAUAAAAGAUCUUGUAUUAAUUUAUAAAAUUAAUAGAAAAAAAUUAAUUUAUAAAA